AUCCUUUUGUAGUUCAUGAGUGUGAUGAUUGGGUUUUCACACUCACAUGUGAGAUGUGUCUCCCUCAAACCUUGUUACGACAUCGGCACAUUACCUAUCUGAUG
rnacentral:snoRNA from 1 species